rnacentral:lncRNA from 1 species
UAAAUUGUUGGGUUUUUUCAGUUUUUUUAGUUGCAAAUUGGAUUUGCUUUGAAUUUAUCAAAGAAUGCUUGCAGUUACAAAUUCUUAAUGGAAAUAUUAGUUAUUUUCCAAUCUGUAAUUGACAGUUAUCAACAAACUAGAAUGUUGUCAGCAUGAAAUAUGAAAACUGCAGCAUUGAAACAGUUUCCUAUAGAACCCAGAGGAAAUAAGUUUAAAACAUUAUUACAAAAAAAAGUUUGAAGUUAAAUCCUUUAUGUAUGUAGCAGAUCUGGUUUUGUCAUUAUAUCAAUUCAUUUAUUUUAAAUUUUGCGUAAAACAUUCUAGUAUGUUGUUGAUCACUAUGAAAAUCUAUUGGAAAUACAACCGACCAACAU